ensembl:lncRNA
AACAGUGACAACUGCCUGCUUCAUGGGCAGAGAUGAAGUAAUUGCUUCCUGGGAAGUACCAUCCUCCUGGCCACACUCUCCAGCCCAUUUCGUUUGUGUUGGUUUCCUCGCAUCUGCACGUUUCUGGCUUCAUGUGAGUCUCAUUUAUUGUAGCAUAUGACUUCAGGCUGUGGGGAAGAAUGGCCAUUUUAGCACAGAGAUGCACACAAAGGAACAACUGGCUAAAUAGCACAACCCCUCAGGUGGCCACCAUGAAUCUCUGGUGUUUUCAGCUGGUUGAAGCCUAUUUGCCGUCUCUGGUUCAAACAUAUUCGAAACCUGAUGAUGCUUCCCUUGGUUGUUCUGCUGUGUGACCUCCAGCCCGCGGGUUCAAGAGUGUCAGAGCUGGGAGCCGCCUUCACAACUACCAGGGUUUCCGGAACCUCCUUUAUCUAGCCCUGGGGACGGAAGAGAUGUCAUCAGAGGUGAAGGCUUAUUGGUUUACAUGCCAUUGAUAAUGAACGAGGAGGUUUUCUUUUAUAUAAGGGGAGCUUCUUAUAAUGUGCUUUAGUAGGGUAAAGAAGCUUUUGAGGUUUGCUUUCUCUGGAAGGAUAAUUUGUGAUCCUGCCCUUGCUUUCAACAAAAAUAUAAUUUGCAUACCAGUGCAUGUUGUGUUACUGAGCACUGGCUGACAAAUGGUUCUUAACUCGUCAUUCACUCAGUCAUUCUUUCUUGAAUGGCAUAUGUGUGCCAGCCGUAGUAGGAACUUGCUAGGCUCUAGGACUAACCCUUAUGAAACGGGGGUCCUGGGGGAAGCAAAUGCAUAUAACUAUAAACGUUUGUGGGGAUAUCAGAGGGGGUGCCUAUAGGUGCAAAGCUUCGUUCAUUCAUUGUCCCAUCUAGGAGGUUUUGUGUCUUAGCAGCGUGUUCCAUAGCAACACAUCCCUGUAUCAAAACAUUCAUCAUAUUAUUUUGAUAUUCUCUGCUUAGGUAUGUAUUUUUCCCACUAAGUUUAGAACUGGUUAAGGACAGGCUAUGGGGUAUGUAAUAUAUGUACACACACACACAGAUAUAUAUAUUACCAUAGUAAAUAUACAAUAUAGAUUUAUAUAUACACACACAUAUAUAUUUCUCCCUCUAUAUACACAAAACACACACACACACGUAUACACACACACAUAUAUAUGAAAUACACACACACACACACACACUUCUACUGCCAAGCACAGAAAGUCAAAACUAGGCAAGGGUUCUUUAAGUGUUCAUGAAAAAAUAGAUGUGCUUAGUUGAGAGCGUCCUUAAGUUGCCAGGGGAAAUACAGGAUGGAUUCACUAAGGGAGAUUUUUUUUCUUUCUUUCUUUAACUCUUGAAUUCGAAAUAAUCCAGACUUAUUGAACAGUUGCAAAAAUAGUACAGAGAAUUCCUGUAUGGUCUUCCCUCAGAUUCCCCAAACAUUUCACCCCAUUUGCACUUUCUUUUUCUCUCUCUGUGGAUAUAUAUAUUUUUUUUCUGAAAUGUUUGAGAGUGGAAGGUAGAAUGCAGGGCAGGGUGAAAGGCGGAAGGAGAGAGUUGGGUUGGGAGGCUGUUUUUUUUUUUUAACCUUCUGAGAUGGAGUUUCGCUCUUGUCAUCCAGGCUGCAGUGCAAUGGCACGAUCUCGGCUCACUCUAACCUCUGCCUUCUGAGUUCAAGUGAUUCUCCUGCUUCAGCCUUCCGAAUAGCUGGGAUUACAGGCACCCACCACCAUGCUCGGCUAAUUUUUUGUAUUUUUAGUAGAGGGGUUUCACCAUGUUGUCCAGGCUGGUCUUGAACUCCUGACCUCUGAUGAUCCACCUGCCUUGGCCUACCAAAGUGCUUGGGAUUACAGGCGUGAGCCACUCUGCCUGGCGAUUGGGAGGCUUUUACAGUAACCCAGAGCACUAUGAUGAGGGCUGGACGUGGUUGGAAAUGAUGAGGAAGGUGAGAAGGGGU